GACGGAGGAUGCAAGUGUUAUCCGGAAUCACUGGGCGUAAAGCGUCUGUAGGUGGUUUAAUAAGUCAACUGUUAAAUCUUGAGGCUCAACCUCAAAAUCGCAGUCGAAACUAUUAGGCUAGAGUAUAGUAGGGGUAAAGGGAAUUUCCAGUGGAGCGGUGAAAUGCGUAGAGAUUGGAAAGAACACCGAUGGCGAAGGCGGCCAUCUGGGAAGGUACUGACGCUGAGACGCGAAAGCGUGGGGAGCAAACAGG
rnacentral:rRNA from 1 species